CAGUCGUACCGGCGGGUAAUCAGCCUUUUGGGUGUGAUUAUGUGGAGCGUGAGGAGCUAAUCGCCUUCAUCUUUGCAUAUUCGUGCACUUUGGGUGUACUUGCUCGUGUGGUAGGUUAACAUCAAUUUUGAUUCAUCAUAAAAUGAUUGAAGGAAUGUAGUUUCGAUCUCGUAUUGGAUGUUAUAGCCUUCGGUAGAUGUGGUGAUCGAGAUU
rnacentral:rRNA from 1 species